rnacentral:rRNA from 1 species
UCUUGGAUUAGUGGCGAACGGGUGAGUAACGCGUGGGUAACCUGCCCUAAAGAUUGGAAUAACUCCGAGAAAUCGGGGCUAAUACCAAAUACCGUAAUAGUAAGGCAUCUUAUUAUUACGAAAGGAUUGCUUUUGCUUUCGCUUUAGGAUGGGCCCGCGUUUCAUUAGUUAGUUGGUGAGGUAACGGCUCACCAAGACUACGAUGGAUAACCGGCCUGAGAGGGUGUACGGUCACACUGGGACUGAGAUACGGCCCAGACUCCUACGGGAGGCAGCAGUGGGGAAUUUUCCGCAAUGGGCGCAAGCCUGACGGAGCAACGCCGCGUGGACGAUGAAGGCUUUCGGGUUGUAAAGUCCUGUCACGGGGAAAGAAGGGUCAACUUUUGUUGAUUUGACGGUACCCCGAGAGGAAGCCCCGGCUAACUACGUGCCAGCAGCCGCGGUAAUACGUAGGGGGCAAGCGUUGUUCGGAUUUAUUGGGCGUAAAGAGCGCGUAGGUGGUUUUUUAAGUCAGGUGUGAAAUACUUGGGCUUAACUCAAGAAUUGCACUUGAAACUGAAUUACUUGAGUCCAGUAGAGGAGGAGUGAAUUCCUAGUGUAGCGGUGAAAUGCGCCGAUAUAGGAAGAACACCAGUGGCGACGGCGGCUCUCUGGUCUGUGACUGACACUGAGGCGCGAAAGCUAGGGAGCAAACAGGAUUAGAUACCCCUGGUAGUCCUAGCCGUAAACGAUGGGCACUAGGUGUAGGGGGGUGAUCGACUCCCCCCUGUGCCGCAGAUAUCGCAUUAAGUGCCCCGCCUGGGAGUGCGAUCGCAAGGUUAAAACUCAAAGGAAUUGACGGGGGGCCCGCACAAGCGGCGGAGCAUGUGGUUUAAUUCGACGCAACGCGAAAAACCUUACCGGGGCUUGACAUAUAGAUGCAACCCAUAGAGAUAUGGGCCUCUUCGGACAUCUAUACAGGUGGUGCAUGGCUGUCGUCAGCUCGUGUCGUGAGAUGUUGGGUUAAGUCCCGCAACGAGCGCAACCCCUGUCCUGUGUUGCCAUCAUUAAGUUGGGAACUCACAGGAGACUACCUCGGUCAACGGGGAGGAAGGUGGGGAUGACGUCAAGUCAUCAUGCCCUUUAUGUCCCGGGCUACACACGUGCUACAAUGGUCUGUACAGAGGGCUGCGAAACCGUGAGGUGGAGCGAAUCCCAGAAAACAGAUCUCAGUUCGGAUUGAUGGCUGCAAUUCGCCUUCAUGAAGUUGGAGUCGCUAGUAAUCGCGAAUCAGCAUGUCGCGGUGAAUACGUUCCCGGGCC